rnacentral:rRNA from 1 species
UACGUAGGGGGCUAGCGUUGUCCGGAAUCAUUGGGCGUAAAGAGCGUGUAGGCGGCCCGGUAAGUCCGCUGUGAAAGUCGGGGGCUCAACCCUGGAAUGCCGGUGGAUACUGUCGGGCUAGAGUGCGGAAGAGGCGAGUGGAAUUCCUGGUGUAGCGGUGAAAUGCGCAGAUAUCAGGAGGAAUACCGGUGGCGAAGGCGGCAUCCUGGACCGACAUUGACGCUGAGGAGCGAAAGCUAGGGGAGCAAACGGG